rnacentral:tRNA from 1 species
GGAGAGGUGGCUGAGUGGUUGAAAGCGGCGGUCUUGAAAACCGUUAAGGGGCGACCCUUCUAGAGUUCGAAUCUCUACCUCUCCG